GCCAGUUUCGCAGUGAGUGCGGUAGUGAUCUCAUCUUCGUCCUCUGGUGUUCUUUCACUGUCUGUGUUACUCUUCAUCAAGCUAACGUAAAGCAUGAAGAGAACCAAGUCCAUCAUCAUCAUCAACAAUGUUCUUCAAAAGACUACCAACUGUCGAUCGAAUUAUUAUCCAGAAAAUAACCUUACUUAAGGACGAGUGAUGCAAUAGGAGAAUGACCAUUUUUUUACUGCGUGACGAGCAAGGCAAGUCAAAUAAUCUGUAGUUUAAAAAUGUACAAGACGUCGUCAAUUCUAAUAACGGAAUGCUGAGUGCAAACAACACACGUUAGCCAAGCCAGUGGUCAGCUUAUCAUUCUUUUGAUGAUGAUGAUGGUGAUGAUGAAAUAUCAGCAAUGAAAAUAUUAAAUACUAAUGAUAAUUGUAUACGGAUCAUGUAUGACGUCAAACUUUUAAUAGAUAUACUUUGGAGUAUCCAUGAAAUUUUUUUAAAAUUCAUAUUCAUUCGAUAAUUAUUAUUUUUACUGUAUUGGAAAGAACUUUGAUCUAAUGGUUGAUUUAUUGAAAAAAUGAAUGUUUGUAAAAUCAAUAAUUGAAUCUAUUUGUAAUCUUAGAUUAUCUGAUGCUUCAUAAAUUUUUACUGGGAAACAUGAUUUUACCAUCUUAUUCAAUGGAAUUAUCAAUGAAUCAUUUACCUGAUUCACUCAUCACAUUAAAAGUCAGACGGAAUUACUGUUGAUUAUAUGUAUUACAUUGAAUACUAUUAUAAAGAAAUCAAAAAAUAGUUCAUUAUUUGUAAUAACAUUGAAUGA